ensembl:lncRNA
UUCUGAGGUUAGGUUAUGAAAGGCUGCAGCUUCCAUUUUAGGUUUUCCUUCUGGAACAGUCGCUCUUGGGGGAGCCAGCUGCCACGUCCUAAGGACACCUAGCCUGUGGAGACACCCACACGACAAGGAACUGAGGUCACCAGCCAGCAGCCAGUGGGGCAAGGAGGCUUCCUCCCUGUCAUCGAAGCAGGUCAGCCCCCAGCUCGCCUUUCUAACGGUGACAGCCUCACAGAACAGUGUGACGGCAACCUCGAGAGGCUCUGAGGCAGAAACACCCAGGCCUGGGAUGUGCUCAGAUCAGUGCCUCAGCAAAUUAACUGGGAAAGGAGUACAUGGAGGCUGUACAUUGUUACCCUGCUUAACUUAACUUAUAUGCAGAGUAUAUCAUACAAAAUGCCAGGCUGGAUGAAGCACAAGCUGGAGUCAAGAUUGCCGGGAGAAAUAUCAAUAACCUCAGAUAUGCAGAUGACACCACCCUUAUGGCAGAAAGCAAAAAGGAACUAAAGAGCCUCUUGAUGAAGGUGAAAGAGGAGAGUGAAAAAGGUGGCAUAAAACUCAACAUUCAAAAAACUAAGAUCAUGGCAUCCGGUCCCACCACUUCAUGGCAAAUAGAUGGGGAAAAGUGGAAACAGUGACAGAUUUUAUUUUCUUGGGCUCCAAAAUCACUGUGGACAGUGACUGCAGCCACAAAAUUAAAAGAUGCUCCUUGGAAGAAAAGCUAUGACAAACAUAGACAGCAUAUUAAAGAGCAGAGACAUUAAUUUGCUGACAAAGGUCCAUACAGUCAAAGCUAUGGUUUUUCCAGUAGUCAUGUAUGGACGUGAAAGUUG